AGAGUUUGAUCAUGGCUACAGAACGAACGCUGGCGGCGCGUUUAAGCAUGCAAGUCGAGCGGCAAGGGCCUUCGGGCCCCUAGAGCGGCGGACGGGUGAGUAACACGUGGACAAUCUGCCCCCCGGCCCGGGAUAGCCCAGGGAAACCUGGAUUAAUACCGGAUGAGACGGGACCCGCGAUGGCGGGACCCGGGAAAGGCGCUGCGGCGCCGCCGGGGGAUGAGUCUGCGUCCCAUUAGCUAGACGCGGGGUAAGGCCCCACCGUGGCGACGAUGGGUAGCCGGCCUGAGAGGGUGGACGGCCACAUUGGAACUGAGACACGGUCCAGACUCCUACGGGAGGCAGCAGCUAAGAAUCUUCCGCAAUGGGCGAAAGCCUGACGGAGCCGACGCCGCGUGAACGAAGAGGGCCGUGAGGUUGUAAAGUUCUUUUCGGGAGGGGAACAACCGUGGCAGGGAAUGGCCGCGGGAUGACGUGAAUCCCGGAAUAACGCCCCGGCUAACUACGUGCCAGCCGCUGC
rnacentral:rRNA from 1 species